AUAAAGAAAGGAGAGAAGGGCACAUGAAGGAUGCCUUGGCUCUCGGAGGCGACGAAGGACGUGAUAAGCUGCGAAAAGCUGCGGGUAGGAGCAAAUAUCCUGUGAUCCGCAGAUGUCCGAAUGGGGCAACCCGACACGGGCGACCGUGCCACCCUCCUUGACGGAGGGAGCUAACCCGGGGAACUGAAACAUCUCAGUACCCGGAGGAAAAGAAAGUAAACCAACGAUUGCGCAAGUAGUGGCGAGCGAACGCGCAAGAGCCCAAACCGGCGGUGUUUCGGCACCGACCGGGGUUGUAGGACCGUCAACAAAUGGAUAAGAUAAAGUUAGCCGAAUCCUCUGGAAAGAGGAGCCGCAGCGGGUGACAGCCCCGUAGGCGAAAACGGAUUCUUGACAGAGACGGCACCUGAGUAAGCCGGGACACGAGAAAUCCUGGCCGAAUCCGCGGGGACCAUCCCGUAAGGCUAAAUACUACCGAGAGACCGAUAGCGAACCAGUACCGUGAGGGAAAGGUGAAAAGAACCUCGAACAGAGGAGUGAAACAGCCCCUGAAAUCAUGUGCCUACAAGCGGUCGGAGCCACUUCGUGUGGUGACGGCGUGCCUUUUGCAUAAUGAACCUACGAGUUGCCGGCGGCGGCGAGGCUAAGGGUUUCAGACCCGGAGCCGAAGCGAAAGCGAGUCUGAACAAGGCGAUGAGAGUCCCCGUCGGCAGACGCGAAACCAAGUGAUCUACCCUUGGGCAGGAUGAAGGUGAGGUAACACUCACUGGAGGUCCGAACCGGUAAGCGUUGAAAAGCUUUCGGAUGACCUGAGGGUAGGAGUGAAAGGCCAAUCAAACUUGGAGAUAGCUCGUACUCCCCGAAAUGCAUUUAGGUGCAGCCUCGGGGCACAGUACCGUGGAGGUAGAGCGACUGAUAGGAUGCGAGGGCUUCACCGCCUAUCAAGUCCUGACAAACUCCGAAUGCCACGGCACGGUCCCCGGGAGUGAGGGCGCGGGUGCUAAGGUCCGCGUCCGAGAGAGGAACAACUCAGACCACCGUCUAAGGCCCCCAAAUCCGGGCUAAGUUGAAGACAAUAACGAGGUGGGACCGCAAGGACAGCUAGGAUGUUGGCUUGGAAGCAGCCAUUCAUUUAAAGAGUGCGUAACAGCUCACUAGUCGAGUGGUCCCGCAUGGAUAAUAAUCGGGCAUAAGUCCGGUGCCGAAGACGUGGAAUCAUGCUUUGAGCAUGAUUGGUAGGGGAGCAUUCCGGUAGCCGUCGAAGGAAAGGCGCGAGCCUUUCUGGAGGUCCCGGAAAAGCAAAUGUAGGUAUAAGUAACGACAAGGGGAGCGAGAAACUCCCCCGCCGUAAGACCAAGGGUUUCUGAUCAACGCUAAUCGGAUCAGAGUCAGUCGGGACCUAAGGCACAGCCGCAAGGCGCAGCCGAUGGAAGAAACGGUCAACAUUCCGUUACUCGGUAUGAGAGCGAUGUGGAGACGGAGAAGUGACACUCCCGCGCACUGACGGAAUAGUGCGUUAAACCGCGUAGGUAUAUUCCUUCCAGGCAAAUCCGGAGGGGAUGCUGAACCGGGACAGUACACCGAGCCCCCGGGCAAGGUGACAGCGGAGGUAAUCCCGCUCCCGAGAAAAUCCGCUAAGCAUAUCUCAUAUCGACCCGUACCCUAAACCGACACAGGUGGUCGGGUAGAACAUACCAAGGCGCUCGAGAGAUUCACGGUUAAGGAACUAGGCAAAUUGACCCCGUAACUUCGGGAUAAGGGGUCCCCUCCUCCUGGGAGGGGCGCAGAGAAUAGGUCCAGGCAACUGUUUAACAAAAACACAGGGCUGUGCAAAAUUGAAAGAUGAAGAAUACAGCCUGACACCUGCCCGGUGCCGGAAGGUUAAGAGGAGAUGUCAUCGCAAGAGAAGCAUUGAAUUGAAGCCCCGGUAAACGGCGGCCGUAACUAUAACGGUCCUAAGGUAGCGAAAUUCCUUGUCGGGUAAGUUCCGACCUGCACGAAUGGUGUAAUGAUCCGGACACUGUCUCAACCGUGAGCUCGGUGAAAUUGUAGUAUCGGUGAAGAUGCCGAUUACCCGCAACGGGACGAAAAGACCCCGUGAACCUUUACUGCAGCUUAGCACUGGGACCGGGCGUGCGAUGUGUAGGAUAGUCAGGAGACAGCGAAGCGGUGACGCCAGUCAUCGUGGAGUCGACGUUGAAAUACUGACCUUUGCACGUUUGGUUUCUAACUCGCAGGAGCGAGGACACUGCUUGGUGGGUAGUUUGACUGGGGUGGUCGCCUCCAAAAGCGUAACGGAGGCUUCUAAAGGUGCGCUCAGGCCGAUUGGUAACCGGCCGUAGAGUGUAAUGGCACAAGCGCGCUUGACUGGGAGACCUACAAGUCGAUCAGGUAGGAAACUAGAGCAUAGUGAUCCGGUGGUUCCGCAUGGAAGGGCCAUCGCUCAAAGGAUAAAAGGUACUCCGGGGAUAACAGGCUGAUCCCUCCCAAGAGCUCAUAUCGACGGAGUGGUUUGGCACCUCGAUGUCGGCUCGUCACAUCCCGGGGCUGGAGAAGGUCCCAAGGGUUAGGCUGUUCGCCUAUUAAAGUGGCACGCGAGCUGGGUUCAGAACGUCGUGAGACAGUUCGGUCUCUAUCUGUUGUGGGCGUAGGAGAUUUGCGAGGCCCCGACACUAGUACGAGAGGACCGUGUCGGACCGACCACCGGUGAGCCGGUUGUACCGCCAGGUGCACCGCCGGGUAGCCGCGUCGGGCCAGGAUAAGUGCUGAAAGCAUCUAAGCACGAAGCCCCCCUCAAGAUAAGAUCUCCACACAAGGGCCGUCAAAGACGAUGACGUCGAUAGGUCGCAGGUGUACGCACAGCAAUGUGUUCAGCCGAGCGAUACUAAUCGCCCAAACCCUUUCUUAG
rnacentral:rRNA from 2 species